UGUAUGGGCCUUGUCUUCUUCUCUCUACUUCUCCCUCUAUGGCUAUCGAUCGAUGCUGAAAUAAGUUUCAUGGGUUGUUUAUUGUCCUAAAGGAGUUUACUAGCUUGAGUUGCUCUUAGUUGUGUUUUGGUUGAGGUCUCUCUCCUUGAUAGACGACUCUAGUUUCUAUGAUUUGGAAGAGCUCCAUUGUCGGAUGUCUAAGGUGAGCGACGCUGUUUAAUGAAGAGCCAAGUCUCCUUUAGUUUCUUCGAGUCCCGACCCGUUUUAGCUUAGGGUUAGCCUAUUGAUGUAUUGGGUUUGUCGCUGAACUUGAUGGUGGG
rnacentral:misc_RNA from 1 species